GGGAAGGUGGCUCAGUGGUAGAGUGCUUGCCUUGCAUGCAUGAAGCCCUAGGUUCGAUUCCUCAGUACCA
rnacentral:tRNA from 1 species